rnacentral:tRNA from 2 species
GGCUCCUUGGUCAAGCGGUUAAGACACCACCCUCUCACGGUGGUAACAGGGGUUCGAUUCCCCUAGGAGUCACCA